rnacentral:rRNA from 1 species
UACGGGGGGGGCAAGCGUUGUCCGGAAUCAUUGGGCGUAAAGAGCGUGUAGGCGGUUCGGUAAGUCGGCUGUGAAAGUCCAGGGCUCAACCCUGGGAUGCCGGUCGAUACUGCCGGACUAGAGUUCGGAAGAGGCGAGUGGAAUUCCCGGUGUAGCGGUGAAAUGCGCAGAUAUCGGGAGGAACACCUAUGGCGAAGGCAGCUCGCUGGGACGUUACUGACGCUGAGACGCGAAAGCGUGGGGAGCAAACAGG